rnacentral:lncRNA from 11 species
UCUCUCCCUUUUUCUCUUCUACUUCCCUCGUUGCUGUUCCACGGGUUAAUUCUUGACGCGCACGCUUUCGAUAACAAGGUUGUUUCAAGUGGCACUCCCGAGCUUGCUCUGGGGUUUGCCUGCCCCGAGCAACUAUAUCGAGUGUUCCGCUGUUUAACUUAAUUGCCGCUAGCUGCUACUUCGCGAUUGCUCUCUUUUCAUACAGAGAGCAGAUUCGUCGCUUAGUUAGUUAAUGUGCAAAGUGGAAUUUGAUUGCGUGUAUUUUUCAGUGCCUUUGAAUGCCUAGAGACUGUGAUUGGAUCAUGUUAGAGAUUCUGAUUUGAAUUGUACGAGAUUCCCUUUUGGUUAUGUAAGAGAAUUAAGUAACAGUUUGGCAAUUGCAAUCUCCUCCAAUGGAGAAAAAGGAGAAAAAGUGAGAUCACAGGGCGUCUAUUCCGGGAAUCACUCUCGACGGAAGUUACUGUGGAAUCCGUCGGUGGUAAUUCGAGGUGAACGAAACUGAAGUGGGCUCGAAUUACUAGGGAACUAUUAAUGAAACAGGGAUUAAAAGAAAGAAGCUGGCCAACGCAAUGGGGGGAACAGAUGGGUUCGUCGAGCGUUCGUGAAUGGAAAGAAUCGCUGCUUUUUCGCUAUUCACGCGGUAUAGUUGUCUGUGACGAUGGUUUUGAAGGUUCCUGAUCGCGGUACGAUGUUCCUCGGUAAAGGUACACUUGUGAGAAAUUUGUCUGAGGGUAACUGCAUGCUUUUUUCAAGGUAGCUGCCUUUCAUUCGGAUAUUUGAGAUGAUACUUAUUCAAAAUGGACAUAAUACUGAUAUCAAAAAGAAUAUCAAAGGAACGUUUAACAAAAUAUUAAAGAAGAACUUAUUCAAUAUUUGUGUAAUAUUGAUAGAUAUUUUUUCAAUAUUACAGAAACUAUACGUAUAAAAAGGAACUCAAAGAGGAAGGGAGGAGAAUGUUGGGAAAGUCUGUCGAAGGUCGUCGAUAAUAGUUUCCAAUACUUGCCCAGUAUUUUGCGGUAACGAGACCCGUAACGACCGUCGUGCAAGAAAUAAACGAGUCGGAUUAUAGUUUUCCGUUUCGCUUAAACUCAAUCACUCCUGCAGAAAUACAAGUUUCGAGCGGUUCGGUAACGACGGAUCGAAGAAAUUUUUAAAGAGCCAAGAUUGACCGCGUUGAAGUCACCGCGAGUCUCUCCAAUCCUCUUCAACUAGACGUCUGUACACUGUACUGUACACGUGUACAAGCAAAUUGAAGUACGGUAGAACGUUCGACGAUAAUUUGCUCCAAUAAGUUUGAAAUAACGGUUCAGCAUUCUAAUGGAAAAUAUCAUUUGGUGGUAGUCUAAUAAUACAAUGACAAAUAAGUCGCGCUUCUGAACAAAUGAAAAGCGGAAGAACCGACCAAUAAUUCACGGGGUGGUAUCGAUCGAGCACGUGACUCUCCGGCACGAAUUCCAACGUUGUUGAAAAUGAUAUUAAUGACGAUCGACGUCGUCAGGGGAAAGGAAUGCAAUAUCGCCGCCGCUGGUGUUAAUGUAGCCGCUGGCUGCGACCAAUAGAAAAUUCCACGCUGAAGAAGCUUUUACCCGCGUGGUAUCAUGAACACAGCAUUGUCGUCGGAAGGAUUACCAGACAGUUAUUAAAAUAUCAUUCUUCCACGGUGACCCCACUGCCUCCAACAGGGAGAUCCACCCUCACGCACUAGACGUCAUGGGGGCGACUUCACGUUGGCUGUCUUCCUGCCUCCUUUUCAACGUAGCUGGCGUAACAAUGUGCGUGUUUCGCGUGUCCUUGAAACCAAGGGAGGUCUCCGAUGAUGGCGUGGGUGUAUUCGCAAGUCACGUUUCACAAGGAGUAAAAGGAAAGGAACGUUUAUAAUGCGAGUAAUUGAAAGUUAGUCCAUCCUUAUUCCAAUAGCAACUUUAUAGUAACUACAGAAAGUACCUAUUCGUACAGCAUUGUAUCUAUUAUAGCAUUUAUACGUUGUAAUUACUAGGCUGCGGAUUUUUAUGCAAACGUGUAUUUUUAUGCAGAUAAUUAGAGAUAUAAAACCUACAUAAAGAUUUAUUAUGAGAUGCGUAAAUUUUAUAAUGGCUACUAUACAGCAGAUAUUUUUUAUAUUCAUAUUCAUUAGGUGAAUUUAUAAAUUUUUCAUAUUCGCAUAAAGAUCCGCAGUCUGGUAAUUAAUUAGUUUCCAUUAAUUAGGUUCAAUGUUUCAUUGGAAAAUAAAGGUAUGUGCAAAUACACUUUGUGGCUACUGUAUAUUAAUUAUAUGGAGAAAUUGAAUACAAAGACAACGUAAAUCAUAUUUUAUUUAACCAUCCAAUUUCUGUAACGUUUAAGGAACGAAGGAUAGCGAUAAUAUCUGUCGUAGAAUCGGAUUACAAAUUUCGAAGUUGCUUCCUCUACAUUCCAACGAUUCGCCACCAACGAGAUGAAUGAUGAAAGGAUCAUUCAGGUAUCCACUGUGUCCACUAGAACCUUACUAGCGAUUUUGAUCUCCAAGCAUAGGGGAAGGUGCGAAAACGGAGACAAUAUCGCGAUAGGUGACGCCCAGAAACACGACGACGACGCUAAUCCAAAUAGAAAAGAAGGGAAGAAGGAUAAAAAAGAAAAAAUGAAAUAAGAGAAAGAAGAAAAGGGAACAGUAUCGUGAGCCGAAAUCUCUUCAAAUUUCAUUCGACAUCCCCGUAUCAAUGGUCGUCUUGUAUUUCGAGAAGGGUGAAUGCAAUUUAUUGUAAUCUCUUCUGUUGUCGAACGCACACGAGCGAGAAAUGCCUAACUUCUUCGUUGUAUCGCCAUCGCCAAGGUGUAACGUAUCACCGGUGUGCUUUGUGGGACGAGGACCGAGGAAGUUAAUAAAACUCGUUUCAACGUCGACAAACUCACGGCACGACCCCUCCAAAAGAUUUAUUACGAAUUCGUGCAUGAAUGGAAUAUCUACCAUGUUGGAGAUUGCGAAUAUGUAAGGAGGAUGGUUCAUGAGAGUAGAAAAUGGCGAACAUGUAUCUUGUUUCAUGGUGGAUUCCGUUUAACAAAUUGAGCUUUUAUUAAGUCAGAUACGUAGCUAUGUUUUAUUAAUGGAGAUGUAAAAAGCUUCAUGUGUCGUUGCAGAUCUAAUUUAACUCUUAAUCACAUCUGGUGCAUUUCGAAUAUUCCCAGCUUGGUCCGUUAUUCUUCGUUAUAUUCACGAAAGAUCUGUUUGACACGCUCAACAGGGCUAUGCUACUUCUAUGUAAAUGCGAAUGAUCUUAACUUUUGUAUCAACUUAAAUUAAGUUAAAUUACUCCGAUGCACAAGAUAUGCAUGAGGAUUUUAACGAACUAGCCAAUAAGUGUACGCGUCAUAAAUUAUAUUUAAACUUAUCCAAGUGGCAUAUGAUGAAAAUAUCACGCCAAAGGUAUAAAGUUAUGUUUCUACGCAAUGUGGUCGACAAGAAACGAUUGUAUCGAAAAAGAUUGGCUGGUAUCGUCUUUGUCGUCUUUGUCGACCCGGCCUAAGCGAAAUUUAUAGGGAUGUUUCGUGUCCUCCACAGUUGCCCUGCAGCCUGUGUCCUAUUACUCCUAUUCUCUAUUAUGCAGCGGCGCCGUAGGCCGGAAGCUCCCGAUAUCUAUAUGCCAUUCUAAAUUAUUCGGCAUUGUCCUCGCAUGAUUCCAUUGUCCGCGUCUGUCUCCACCGUACGGUGAUACGCCGCGGUCCCGGGUUUAGGGCGUAGACCUACAACAACGCGAAUCGUGUGCUCACACGAUCCAGCCCGCUGUGUGUAUCUGCUUCGAGAGCGCGUCUUGUCAUCGGUCAAGAGUGUCUACGGACUUGUACGCUAUAGGGAUGUCUAAUUAAUCGCGGACGUACUGCUAUCUAAGAAUGUACCUACGUGCACAUGUGUCUCUCUAUACAACGCAUCGUCUAUAGUCGUGUACAACAUUUCUCGUAAUUAUUUGCGAUACUUCUAAAUUCCCCAAUUGAAAUUUGGAAAAGAAAAAGGACGACUGUUGCGGAAGGAAUUUUGGGAAAAGUUGUUGUCACGUACCAUAAAAGUUAAAAUAUUAGAUCGAUAGUAGUAAUGGAAUAACGAAGC